UACGGGGGGGGCAAGCGUUGUUCGGAAUUACUGGGCGUAAAGGGCUCGUAGGCGGCCAACUAAGUCAUACGUGAAAUCCCUCGGCUUAACCGGGGAACUGCGUCUGAUACUGGAUGGCUUGAGUUCGGGAGAGGGAUGCGGAAUUCCAGGUGUAGCGGUGAAAUGCGUAGAUAUCGUGAGGAAGACCAGUGGCGAAGGCGGGUCUCUGGACAGUUCCUGACGCUGAGGCGCGAAGGCCAGGGGAGCAAACGGG
rnacentral:rRNA from 1 species